UACGUAGGGGGCUAGCGUUGUCCGGAAUCAUUGGGCGUAAAGCGCGUGUAGGCGGUUCGGUAAGUCCGCUGUGAAAGUCGGGGGCUCAACCCUCGAAUGCCGGUGGAUACUGUCGGACUAGAGUACGGAAGAGGCGAGUGGAAUUCCUGGUGUAGCGGUGAAAUGCGCAGAUAUCAGGAAGAACACCCGUGGCGAAGGCGGCUCUCUGGGACGGUACUGACGCUGAGACGCGAAAGCGUGGGGAGCGAACAGG
rnacentral:rRNA from 1 species